UCCCUGGUGGCUCAGACAGUAAAGCAUCUGCCUACAAUGUAGGUAGACCCGGGUUCAAUCCCUGGGUCGGGAA
rnacentral:tRNA from 1 species